AAUCAGUUCGAUCUGUUUUACCGAGAAGGUCUACGGUUCGAGUCCGUAUAGCCCUAACAUUCAUAGGAGUUCGUCUA
rnacentral:tRNA from 1 species